rnacentral:rRNA from 1 species
UACGAAGGGGGCUAGCGUUGCUCGGAAUCACUGGGCGUAAAGCGCACGUAGGCGGCUUGUUAAGUCAGGGGUGAAAUCCUGGAGCUCAACUCCAGAACUGCCUUUGAUACUGGCAAGCUUGGAGUCCGGGAGAGGUGAGUGGAACUGCGAGUGUAGAGGUGAAAUUCGUAGAUAUUCGCAAGAACACCAGUGGCGAAGGCGGCUCACUGGCCCAUAACUGACGCUGAGGCACGAAAGCGUGGGGAGCAAACAGG